GGUUUAGAACGUCGUGAGACAGUUCGGUCCCUAUCCGCUGUGCGCGUAGGAGUCUUGAGAAGGGCUGUCCCUAGUACGAGAGGACCGGGACGGACGAACCUCUGGUGUGCCAGUUGUCCUGCCAAGGGCAUGGCUGGUUGGCUACGUUCGGGAGGGAUAACCGCUGAAAGCAUCUAAGCGGGAAGCCUGCUUCGAGAUGAGGACUCCCACCCACUUGAUGGGGUAAGGCUCCCAGUAGACGACUGGGUUGAUAGGCCGGAUCUGGAAGCACGGUAACGUGUGGAGGUGACCGGUACUAAUAGGCCGAGGGCUUGUCCUCAGUUG
rnacentral:rRNA from 1 species